rnacentral:rRNA from 1 species
GAUGAACGCUAGCUACAGGCUUAACACAUGCAAGUCGAGGGGAAACGGCAUUUAGUGCUUGCACCGAAUGGACGUCGACCGGCGCACGGGUGAGUAACGCGUAUCCAACCUUCCCAUAACUAAGGGAUAACCUGCCGAAAGGCAGACUAAUACCUUAUGUAAUCCUUUGAUGGCAUCAGAUAAGGAUAAAAGAUUUAUCGGUUAUGGAUGGGGAUGCGUCUGAUUAGCUUGUUGGCGGGGUAACGGCCCACCAAGGCAACGAUCAGUAGGGGUUCUGAGAGGAAGGUCCCCCACAUUGGAACUGAGACACGGUCCAAACUCCUACGGGAGGCAGCAGUGAGGAAUAUUGGUCAAUGGACGGAAGUCUGAACCAGCCAAGUAGCGUGCAGGAUGACGGCCCUAUGGGUUGUAAACUGCUUUUGUAUGGGGAUAAAGUCAAUCACGUGUGAUUGUUAGCAGGUACCAUACGAAUAAGGACCGGCA